rnacentral:rRNA from 1 species
GACGGAGGAUGCAAGUGUUAUCCGGAAUCACUGGGCGUAAAGCGUCUGUAGGUUGUUUAAAAAGUCUGCAGUUAAAGGUUGAAGCUUAACUUCAAAAAUGCCGUAGAAACUUUUAAACUAGAGGAUGGUAGGGGUAGAGGGAAUUUCCAGUGGAGCGGUGAAAUGCGUAGAGAUCGGGAGGAACACCAGUGGCGAAGGCGGCUACCUGGACCAGCACUGACACUGAGAGACGAAAGCUAGGGGAGCGAAUGGG